rnacentral:rRNA from 1 species
UACGAAGGGUGCAAGCGUUACUCGGAAUUACUGGGCGUAAAGCGUGCGUAGGUGGUUUGUUAAGUCUGCUGUGAAAGCCCCGGGCUCAACCUGGGAAUGGCAGUGGGAUACUGGCAAGCUAGAGUGCGGUAGAGGGGUGUGGAAUUCCCGGUGUAGCGGUGAAAUGCGUAGAGAUCGGGAGGAACAUCAGUUGCGAAGGCGGCUCUCUGGACCAGCACUGACACUGAGGCACGAAAGCGUGGGGAGCAAACAGGG